GACGAACGCUGGCGGCGUGCCUAAUACAUGCAAGUCGAACGAACUCUGGUAAUGAUUGGUGCUUGCAUCAUGAAUUGCAUUUGAGUGAGUGGCGAACUGGUGAGUAACACGUGGGAAACCUGCCCAGAAGCGGGGGAUAACACCUGGAAACAGAUGCUAAUACCGCAUAACAACUUGGACCGCAUGGUCCGAGUUUGAAAGAUGGCUUCGGCUAUCACUUUUGGAUGGUCCCGCGGCGUAUUAGCUAGAUGGUGAGGUAACGGCUCACCAUGGCAAUGAUACGUAGCCGACCUGAGAGGGUAAUCGGCCACAUUGGGACUGAGACACGGCCCAAACUCCUACGGGAGGCAGCAGUAGGGAAUCUUCCACAAUGGACGAAAGUCUGAUGGAGCAACGCCGCGUGAGUGAAGAAGGGUUUCGGCUCGUAAAACUCUGUUGUUAAAGAAGAACAUAUCUGAGAGUAACUGUUCAGGUAUUGACGGUAUUUAACCAGAAAGCCACGGCUAACUACGUG
rnacentral:rRNA from 2 species